GCGGCGGCGCCGGCCUGGCCUGGCCUGGCUGAGGGGAGGCGGCGGGCGGGCGCGAUGGCGGAGGCCGGGCCACAGGCGCCGCCGCCCCCGGGCACUCCAAGCCGGCACGAAAAGAGCCUGGGACUGCUCACCACCAAGUUCGUGUCCCUUCUGCAGGAGGCCAAGGACGGCGUGCUUGACCUCAAGCUGGCAGCUGACACCCUAGCUGUACGCCAGAAGCGGCGGAUUUACGACAUUACCAAUGUUUUGGAAGGUAUCGGGCUAAUCGAGAAAAAGUCCAAGAACAGCAUCCAGUGGAAGUGAGUGGGCAUAGUGGGAGGGUAGUAGAGUCUCCCACCCAGAAGUGUCGGGCGUGGGGUGGAGGGUGCCGAAGAAGGCAGGGGCCAUGGGACCCAGAGUUCUCAGCAGUCCCUCUCAGCCCCACUCCCUGGGCUCAGGGGUGUGGGGCCUGGCUGCAAUACCCGGGAGAUUGCUGACAAACUGAUUGAGCUCAAGGCAGAGAUCGAGGAGCUGCAGCAGCGGGAGCAAGAACUAGACCAGCACAAGGUGUGGGUGCAGCAGAGCAUCCGGAACGUCACAGAGGACGUGCAGAACAGCUGAUAUCCUCCUGGCGGUCCCUGCUGGGGGGAGUGGGCAAGGGGCCCUCUGGUUCAACUUGCCCUGAGCCCUGUUCCUCUUGGGAGUUUGUCUUAUAGCCACUGGCCAUG
rnacentral:sRNA from 1 species